rnacentral:rRNA from 1 species
AUUGAACGCCGGCGGCAUGGCUAAAACAUGCAAGUCGAACGAGAAAGGGACUUCGGUCCUGAGUACAGUGGCGAAAGGGCGAGUAAUGCGUACCUAACGUACCUCCAGGUGCGGGAUAGCUCGGGGAAACCCGUGGUAAUACCGCAUAAUCCCGUCGGGCCAUAUGGCCUGACGGGCAAAGGCUUGCUGCCUGGAGCUCGGGGUGCGUCCUAUCAGCUUGUUGGUAAGGUAACGGCUUACCAAGGCUAAGACGGGUAGCGGGUGUGAGAGCAUGACCCGCCGCAUCGGGACUGAGACACUGCCCGG